CCUACGGGUGGCUGCAGUGGGGAAUAUUGCACAAUGGGCGCAAGCCUGAUGCAGCCAUGCCGCGUGUGUGAAGAAGGCCUUCGGGUUGUAAAGCACUUUCAGCGGGGAGGAAGGCGGUGAGGUUAAUAACCUCAUCGAUUGACGUUACCCGCAGAAGAAGCACCGGCUAACCCCGUGCCAGCAGCCGCGGUAAUACGGAGGGUGCAAGCGUUAAUCGGAAUUACUGGGCGUAAAGCGCACGCAGGCGGUCUGUCAAGUCGGAUGUGAAAUCCCCGGGCUCAACCUGGGAACUGCAUUCGAAACUGGCAGGCUAGAGUCUUGUAGAGGGGGGUAGAAUUCCAGGUGUAGCGGUGAAAUGCGUAGAGAUCUGGAGGAAUACCGGUGGCGAAGGCGGCCCCCUGGACAAAGACUGACGCUCAGGUGCGAAAGCGUGGGGAGCAAACAGGAUUAGAUACCCUAGUAGUC
rnacentral:rRNA from 1 species